UACGGAGGGUGCGAGCGUUGUUCGGAAUCACUGGGCGUAAAGGGCGUGUAGGCGGUCCGCUAAGUCUGAUGUGAAAGCCCGGGGCUCACCCCCGGAAGGGCAUUGGAAACUGACGGACUCGAGUCCCGAAGAGGAGGGUGGAAUUCCUGGUGUAGCGGUGAAAUGCGUAGAUAUCAGGAGGAACACCGGUGGCGAAGGCGACACCCUGGACCAGCACUGACACUGAGGCACGAAAGCGUGGGGAGCAAACAGG
rnacentral:rRNA from 1 species